GUGGGGAAUAUUCCGCAAUGGACGAAAGUCUUACGGAGCAACGCCGCGUGAGUGAUGAAGGUUUUCGGACUGUAAAGCUCUGUUGUUUAGGACGAAAGUGCCUGUUGCAAAUAGUUACAGGUAUUGACGGUACUGAACGAGGAAGCCACGGCUAACUACGUGCCAGCAGCCGCGGUAAUACGUAGGUGGCAAGCGUUGUCCGGAAUUAUUGGGCGUAAAGAGCAUGUAGGCGGGAAUCUAAGUCUGUUGUGAAAAUGCGGGGCUCAACCCCGUAUUGCGAUGGAAACUGGGUUUCUUGAGUGCAGGAGAGGAAAGGGGAAUUCCCAGUGUAGCGGUGAAAUGCGUAGAUAUUGGGAGGAACACCAGUGGCGAAGGCGCCUUUCUGGACUGUGUCUGACGCUGAGAUGCGAAAGCCAGGGUAGCGAACGGGAUUAGAAACCCUUGUAGUCC
rnacentral:rRNA from 1 species